rnacentral:lncRNA from 1 species
UUUACUUUAAUAUCAAAUCUAUUGUUCUAAGUUUUCCUUUUUAUGAAAUCGCAUCAUAUAUAUAAUAUUUUCGUUUUAAAAUUUAUAAAUAUUUAUAUUAUUUGAAAAUAUAAAAGGAAGCUUAAAUAAUAAGAAAUUUAUCCAUUAAAGAUAUCUUAGUUUAUGUUAUUUAAAUUGUAUUGUAAUAAUUUGAAAAAUAGAU